UAUUGCACAAUGGGGGAAACCCUGAUGCAGCGACGCCGCGUGAGUGAAGAAGUAUUUCGGUAUGUAAAGCUCUAUCAGCAGGGAAGAAAAUGACGGUACCUGAUUAAGAAGCACCGGCUAACUACGUGCCAGCAGACGCGGUAAUACGUAGGGGGCAAACGUUAUCCGGAUUUACUGGGUGUAAAGGGAGCGUAGACGGCAGCACAAGUCUGCUGUGAAAUGCCGGGGCUUAACCCCGGAACUGCUUUGGAAACUGUGCAGCUAGAGUGCAGAAGAGGUAAGUGGAAUUCCUAGUGUGGCGGUGAAAUGCGUAGAUAUUAGGAGGAACACCAGUGGCGAAGGCGGCUUACUGGACUGUAACUGACGUUGAGGCUCGAAAGCGUGGGGAGCAAACAGG
rnacentral:rRNA from 1 species